ACUUAAAUUGAAGAGUUUGAUCAUGGCUCAGAUUGAACGCUGGCGGCAGGCCUAACACAUGCAAGUCGAGCGGUAGCACAGAGAGCUUGCUCUCGGGUGACGAGCGGCGGACGGGGGAGUAAUGUCUGGGAAACUGCCUGAUGGAGGGGGAUAACUACUGGAAACGGUAGCUAAUACCGCAUAAUGUCGCAAGACCAAAGUGGGGGACCUUCGGGCCUCAUGCCAUCAGAUGUGCCCAGAUGGGAUUAGCUUGUAGGUGGGGUAACGGCUCACCUAGGCGACGAUCCCUAGCUGGUCUGAGAGGAUGACCAGCCACACUGGAACUGAGACACGGUCCAGACUCCUACGGGAGGCAGCAGUGGGGAAUAUUGCACAAUGGGCGCAAGCCUGAUGCAGCCAUGCCGCGUGUGUGAAGAAGGCCUUCGGGUUGUAAAGCACUUUCAGCGGGGAGGAAGGCGGUGAGGUUAAUAACCUCAUCGAUUGACGUUACCCGCAGAAGAAGCACCGGCUAACUCCGUGCCAGCAGCCGCGGUAAUACGGAGGGUGCAAGCGUUAAUCGGAAUUACUGGGCGUAAAGCGCACGCAGGCGGUCUGUCAAGUCGGAUGUGAAAUCCCCGGGCUCAACCUGGGAACUGCAUUCGAAACUGGCAGGCUAGAGUCUUGUAGAGGGGGGUAGAAUUCCAGGUGUAGCGGUGAAAUGCGUAGAGAUCUGGAGGAAUACCG
rnacentral:rRNA from 1 species